CCUACGGGAGGCAGCAGUGGGGAAUAUUGGGCAAUGGGCGAAAGCCUGACCCAGCAACGCCGCGUGAAGGAAGAAGGCUUUCGGGUUGUAAACUUCUUUUGACAGGGAAGAGCAGAAGACGGUACCUGUCGAAUAAGCCACGGCUAACUACGUGCCAGCAGCCGCGGUAAUACGUAGGUGGCAAGCGUUAUCCGGAUUUACUGGGUGUAAAGGGAGCGUAGACGGUUAAUCAAGUCAGAAGUGAAAACCCAGGGCUCAACCUUGGGACUGCUUUUGAAACUGAGUAGCUAGAGUGCAGGAGAGGUAAGCGGAAUUCCUAGUGUAGCGGUGAAAUGCGUAGAUAUUAGGAGGAACACCAGUGGCGAAGGCGGCUUACUGGACUGUAACUGACGUUGAGGCUCGAAAGCGUGGGGAGCAAACAGGAUUAGAUACCCUGGUAGUC
rnacentral:rRNA from 1 species